CCUACGGGUGGCAGCAGUGAGGAAUAUUGGUCAAUGGUCGGGAGACUGAACCAGCCAAGCCGCGUGCGGGAUGAAGGUACAGAGUAUCGUAAACCUCUUUUGUCAGGGAACAAAGGCGGGGACGUGUCCCCGGAUGAGUGUACCUGAAGAAAAAGCAUCGGCUAACUCCGUGCCAGCAGCCGCGGUAAUACGGAGGGUGCGAGCGUUAUCCGGAUUUAUUGGGUUUAAAGGGGGCGCAGGCGGGCUGUUAAGUGAGCGGGUAAAGGCCCGGGCUCAACCCCGGCCUCGCCGUGGAACCUGGCAGGCUCGAGUUGGAGAGAAGCAGGCGGAAUGCGCGGUGUAGCGGUGAAAUGCAUAGAUAUCGCGAAGAACUCCGAUUGCGAAGGCAGCAUGCCGGCUCCACACUGACGCUGAGGCACGAAAGCGUGGGUAUCGAACAGGAUUAGAUACCCGUGUAGUC
rnacentral:rRNA from 1 species